UUCUAGAUGCUUGAACCGUUGCUCGAUU
rnacentral:sRNA from 1 species